rnacentral:sRNA from 1 species
AGCUAGUCACCCCCGGGGUCCCGGCCUCAGCGGGCUGGGGCCGCCGCCACCGCGGCAGGACGGGGAGGCGGGCCAUGGCGUCCUGCGUGGGGAGCCGGACCCUAAGCAAGGAUGAUGUGAACUACAAAAUGCAUUUCCGGAUGAUCAACGAGCAGCAAGUGGAGGACAUCACCAUUGACUUUUUCUACCGGCCGCAUACCAUCACCCUGCUCAGCUUCACCAUCGUCAGCCUCAUGUACUUCGCCUUUACCAGGGAUGACUCUGUUCCAGAAGACAACAUCUGGAGAGGCAUCCUCUCUGUUAUUUUCUUCUUUCUUAUCAUCAGUGUGUUAGCUUUCCCCAAUGGUCCGUUCACUCGACCUCAUCCAGCCUUAUGGCGAAUGGUUUUUGGACUCAGUGUGCUCUACUUCCUGUUCCUGGUAUUCCUACUCUUCCUGAAUUUCGAGCAGGUUAAAUCUCUAAUGUAUUGGCUAGAUCCAAAUCUUCGAUACGCCACAAGGGAAGCAGAUGUCAUGGUAUGUACUUGUCAGUGGCCUCUUGGAGAAACUGGUAGAUUCUUUCUUGGGUGUAAGAGGUAGUAGACUUGACAUUUUAAAUUGUUCCUUCUCUGUAUUUCCUGUGUAGUUACCUAAAAACCAGGUCUCUGGGAGGGUUGUUGAGUUGCAUGGUUGUCCACAGGUGAUAGAGUCCAGGGAAAGGAAAUCCUCUCAUUACGCAAAGGGGUCUGUGAGGAAGAACACACACAUUAUUAUCAGAC